AUCACUUAGGCAGAAAUAUAUUAAAAUUGGAAUGAUACAGAGAAGAUUAGCAUGACCCCUGCUUAAGAAUGACAUGCAAAUUCAUGUAGUAUUCCAUAUUUUU
rnacentral:snRNA from 1 species